CCCGUUGUACACACCGCCCGUACACACCACGAAAGUUGGAGACGCCCGAAGCCAGUGGCCUAACCCUUCGGGGGGAGGAGCUCGUCGAAGGUGGAGUCAGCGAUUGGGGUG
rnacentral:rRNA from 1 species